ACGAACGCUGGCGGCGUGCCUAAUCCAUGCAAGUCGAGCGGACUGAUUAAGAGCUUGCUCUUAUGACGUUAGCGGCGGACGGGUGAGUAACACGUGGGCAACCUGCCCUGUAGAUCGGGAUAACACCGAGAAAUCGGUGCUAAUACCGGGUAAUAUCUGAGAUCACAUGAUCUUAGGUUAAAAGAUGGCUCCGGCUAUCACUACAGGAUGGGCCCGCGGCGCAUUAGCUAGUUGGUAAGGUAAUGGCUUACCAAGGCGACGAUGCGUAGCCGACCUGAGAGGGUGAUCGGCCACACUGGGACUGAGACACGGCCCAGACUCCUACGGGAGGCAGCAGUAGGGAAUCUUCCGCAAUGGACGAAAGUCUGACGGAGCAACGCCGCGUGAGUGAUGAAGGGUUUCGGCUCGUAAAGCUCUGUUGUUAGGGAAGAAACAGUACCGAACGAACUAGGUCGGUACCUUGACGGUACCUAACCAGAAAGCCACGGCUAACUACGUG
rnacentral:rRNA from 1 species